AUUAAGAUGUCUUAGCAUUGUCAUGAAAAUGGCUGUGACCUCAUCACAUGGACCCCCUGAAAGGGUCUCCAGACUGCUGUUGUAGCGGAAAGUUAAUUGGAUUUGGGGGUCAGAAGAACCGGAAGCAGACUCCAGCUGUGCAACUUAUUUACCUGUGAAGGGGCUCUGAGAAGGAACUUCUGAGUCUGGUACCUGGGCCCAUAAGCUCUUGCACACUAAGUCCCAUUCUCAGGGAGAAGGUAAGAC